GGGGUAUUCACUAAAAGCUGCGUAAAGGGAAAUUAUGCGUAACUUGGGCAAAGAAACAUUUCACAUGAAAUAUUCCUCCUCUGAUUCUAUUGGACGUCAAAUGAGAGAUUUUUAAUCUAGUCACCCACUGAAAACGUCAACUAAAUUCUCGAAAAUAGCUUUGUUUUAUAAGUUUUUAUGUACGACUAGAAUCUCCGGUACAAUUCAGCCGUUCCUACAUUAUUAUUAAAGGACUUUCGUGGGAGCAUCUGGAGCUGGUUCCGAAUCGACAGCGAGUUUCAACCAGUUAACGAU